AGUCUAUUCAGAGGAACCUGUCCUGUAAUUGAUAAUCCACGAUGUACCUCACUUAAAUUUGUUUUUCAGUUUAUAUACCGUCGUUAUCAGAAUAUUUUAUUAGAAUAAUAAUUUUCUAUAAUUUUUAUAAGAAUUUAUAUCAGAUCAAGGUGUAGCUUAUGUUUAAGUAGAGAUGGGUUACAAUAAAUUUAUUUAAACGGAUCUAAUUUUGAAAUGUUUAGUGAAGGUGGAUUUGAUAGUAAAAUUUUAAAGAUUGUUAAUUUGAUUUUAGCUCUAGAAUAUGCACACAUCGCCCGUCGCUCUUGCUAUUAAGGUAAGAUAACUCGUAACAUAGUACAUGUACCGGAAGGUGUAUCUAGAAUGA
rnacentral:rRNA from 1 species